rnacentral:lncRNA from 1 species
CUAGGCCUGUCUAAAUUAUUUUUCCAUUCUCUACUUUAUGCUCUGAUACCACUUUAUCUGUCACGUGCCGUAACUGCCCGCCUAUUUGGCCGGGUCGCGGCGCCGCAAACAGACCGCCGAACGGACAGAGUUUCCUCUAUACGUCCUAGGCGUCGCAAUCAAAACAGUGAACGAGUGUUCCAAUUAACCAAGAACUGAUAUCAAUCAAGAUUGCAU